GUGACCUCAAAUCAGGUAGGACUACCCGCUGAACUUAAGCAUAUCAAUAAGCGGAGGAAAUCGAAUCCCGCGGCCGCCGG
rnacentral:rRNA from 1 species